AGUCUCGUCGUCCAAUGGAUAGUGACACUUGGCUACGAACCAAGAAAUGGGCGUUCGAAUCGCUCCGAGACUA
rnacentral:tRNA from 1 species